rnacentral:rRNA from 1 species
UACGGGGGGGGCAAGCGUUGUUCGGAAUUACUGGGCGUAAAGGGCGCGUAGGCGGCCUGCUAAGUCAGACGUGAAAUCCCUCGGCUUAACCGGGGAACUGCGUCUGAUACUGGAUGGCUUGAGUUUGGGAGAGGGAUGCGGAAUUCCAGGUGUAGCGGUGAAAUGCGUAGAUAUCUGGAGGAACACCGGUGGCGAAGGCGGCAUCCUGGACCAACACUGACGCUGAGUGAGCGAAAGCCAGGGGAGCAAACGGG